rnacentral:misc_RNA from 1 species
AACACUGUUAACCUGCGGUACCUGCGGAAGGAUCAUUAUUGAAUAAACUUGGUCAAGCUGUUGCUGGUCCUUCGAGACAUGUGCACGCUUGCCACCAAUUUUAACCACCUGUGCACUUUUUGUAGACUUGGAAACGUUUCUCGAGGCAACUCGGAUUGAGAACUGCUGGCGCAAGUCGGCUUUUCUUAUGUUUUCUCAGUCUAUGUUUUCAUAUACACCUAAUGUAUGUAUCAGAAUGUA